UUAUCCUUUAAAAGUUCUUACGCAUCAGUGACGGAGAAGUAAUUGAUUUUGAAAAAUGUCUCAAUGCACUAAAGCAGAGGACUUAUAGUUUGAGGUGAGUUUAGAUUGAUUUUAUCCAAAUUGAUAAUUUGCAAAAAUAUAAUUAUUAAUUUAUUUAAGAAAAUAAAUUAAAAGAUAAUUAUAUAAGCUCAAGUAUUAUAUCCCUUAUCCCUAAUUAUUUAUCCCUUAAUGCUAAAAUUUCCUUAGAAAUUUAUCCAAUGAUUAUCCCCAUUAUUGAUUAAAA
rnacentral:lncRNA from 1 species